rnacentral:rRNA from 1 species
AGUGAACGCUGGCGGUAGGCCUAACACAUGCAAGUCGAACGGCAGCACAGUAAGAGCUUGCUCUUACGGGUGGCGAGUGGCGGACGGGUGAGGAAUACAUCGGAAUCUACUUUUUCGUGGGGGAUAACGUAGGGAAACUUACGCUAAUACCGCAUACGACCUACAGGUGAAAGCAGGGGAUCUUCGGACCUUGCGCGAUUGAAUGAGCCGAUGUCGGAUUAGCUAGCUGGCGGGGUAAAGGCCCACCAAGGCGACGAUCCGUAGCUGGUCUGAGAGGAUGAUCAGCCACACUGGAACUGAGACACGGUCCAGACUCCUACGGGAGGCAGCAGUGGGGAAUAUUGGACAAUGGGCGCAAGCCUGAUCCAGCCAUACCGCGUGGGUGAAGAAGGCCUUCGGGUUGUAAAGCCCUUUUGUUGGGAAAGAAAAGCAGCAGGUUAAUACCCCGCUGUUCUGACGGUACCCAAAGAAUAAGCACCGGCUAACUUCGUG